UCUUUUAGGAUGCUCUAAAUCCAACAACCACUCGCAUAAACCAUACUUUGAAUUCGACCUCUGCACUCGGCUGCGCCUCAACCUUUGCUUUUUACUUCUACUAGUAACCGGAUUUCCUUCCAUGAAGAUAAAAUAACCUGAAGUAGAUCGUCUUGUUGAUUCAUCCCCUGCCCGAUCAGCACCUCUGCAUCCUUCAACGUCCGGGGUGCCGUUCUUUGAGAAUAAUAGUCGCUCUCCCAAAGCCCCCUUCAGGUUUACAGGCAAGCAUUCCAGUUGGCAAAUCGGAGACAGCGAUUCUGGACAGAAGUGAUGGAAGGAGGAGUAAGUUGUCUUGGGUUCUCAAUUAUGGAAAUAGGAGAACCGUUAUGGCCACCAUAGGUAAGCGGAGCCAUAUAAUAAGAGCGCAGUGAAGAACAACAACGGUAUACUGCAUCAGCCUGGAAACAAGACAUCAAGCACAGGGUUAAAUUGAACAGGGCAUGAGACUAAGCCACUGGAUCGAGCAAAGAAGCAACAAUGAUAGAUUGCUCAGCAGAUCGAAACAAGAUAUAUCUGAACACGAGAUGGAGAGGGAAACAGAAAAGCUUGCUAGUUUGGAGGAGGAAGAAAACUGAAUAUCAUCGAAUUUGGUUACUUUUUAUUGUUUGAGGAUUACCUCUGAAAGCCGAGCAACAUAUUUGCCACAGAUUCAAGAGCAUACUGUUUAUUUGCUCGAUCAAGACUUUCAAAAUUGCCAAAUUUGGAUGUAAUUGUGAAUCGACUUUUAUGCAGCAACCCGUGGGAUAUCUUAUUACCAAAUGAGCAGCACUAUAUAUUCGGCCGACGUAAAUUCUUCUCAAAUCCCGAGCACAGACUUAUCUAAAUUUGCCACACACGCUAAAUGGCAACUCCAGCAACAAAUAAUUUUUCAAACGGCGAUAUUAAUUAUCUCAAUCUAUUUAUUCAUAAGAUGCAAUCGGUUUCUACAUAGACUAGGAAUACAUAUCAUACAAUAUCGGUGUAAUUAUCGAACGAA